rnacentral:rRNA from 1 species
AUGGGCUUAUGUAAACUGCCCGGGCGGUGUCCAAGUUUGUCAUGUAGUUACCUAUCUCUGUUUACUUAUCUCUGCUGGUUCAUGUAUUUCGUCUGUAUAAAGUUGAAGAAUGAUCGAUGUUACCAUUUUCAGUUAUUUGUUCUUUUGCUUUUCAGGUUUGCAUGUAAACUUUUGUGCUAUAUUGAACUUCUUGUAAUACAAAACGACAAGUGUUUUGGGGGGUGUCCUUGGAAUUUGUGUACAUGUGCUCGGUGUUCAUUAUAUUCUAAUCGUCCACUUCCUCAGCACAUUUUCAGGCCAGUUCUGACACCUUCCUUUUUUGCUGAUGGAGAUGGAAUUUUAGCAGCACCAAAUCAUACUAUCAUCAAUAGUAAUGAAAAACCUCAAGACCCGGGUCAGAGUUGCAGCCUGCUGCCCAGUUCCCCAACUGAGGAUUCUCCUCUUUAUAUGCUUGCUACUUCAGAUGGGGCUCUAAGUAAUAAAUAUGUUAUGGAUGACUUGACAACCAUGAGUGGCAGUCAUGUAGUACUCCCUUCCAUUCAGGAAAAUGUAGGGGCCAGCAGUAUUGCCUUUGCUGGUACAACUGCAGACAUGUGCUUUGUUAAGAACCCGCAGUCUCAAUUCCUUGGUCAGCCUUCAACUUGCUCUUCACCGGAAAUAAUUGAUCUUACUCAGAUUGAUGACAUGGAUGAAACUGAUGAUGUACCAAUGGAAUUAGCACCUAUACCUGAAUUAGAUGCUCUUACAGACAUGGAUCAGAUUGAUAACGUACCAAUGUUACUACCUAGGAAGAAUGUCACUCUUGCACUAGAUCUUGAUGGCACCCUUAUCCACUCAGCAAGGUACGACCAUGGCGCGGACUUCUCAUUUCCUAUGCGCCGUGGAGAAGAAGAGUACACUGUCUACGUGAAGAAGAGACCACAUGUAGAUGCCUUCCUUGAAGAGGCGGCUCAUAUGUUUGAGCUUGUUGUAUUUACGGCUAGCACAAGCUCUUAUGCAAACCAAGUGAUUAAUGCAUUGGAUCCUGAGAACAGACUGAUAUCACGGCGUUUUUUCCGGGAGUCAUGUGUCUCGGUAGAUGGAAACUACCAGAAGGAUCUGACCAUUAUUGAAGCUGAUCUUGCAAAGGUUGCGAUUGUUGACAAUACCCCUGAGGUUUUCCAGCAACAGGUGAAUAAUGGGAUAGCCAUAAAGAGCUGGUCAAGUGGCCGGUAUGACAUUUCGCUGCUUGAGCUGAUCCCCUUCUUGGAAACAAUUGCUGACGCGGAUGAUGUCCGGCCGAUCAUUGCAGACAAAUUUGCCAAUUAA